rnacentral:misc_RNA from 2 species
AAGUCGUAACAAGGUUUCCGUAGGUGAACCUGCGGAAGGAUCAUUACAGUAUUCUUUUGCCAGCGCUUAACUGCGCGGCGAAAAACCUUACACACAGUGUCUUUUUGAUACAGAACUCUUGCUUUGGUUUGGCCUAGAGAUAGGUUGGGCCAGAGGUUUAACAAAACACAAUUUAAUUAUUUUUAUUGAUAGUCAAAUUUUGAAUUAAUCUUCAAAACUUUCAACAACGGAUCUCUUGGUUCUC